GCGCACCAGGCGCGAAUUUUUCUCAAUGGGCGAAAGCCUGAAGGAGCGACGCCGCGUGGGGGAUGAAUGGCUUCGGCCCGUAAACCCCUGUCAUUUGUGAACAAAUUGUUUCACCUAACACAUGAAGCAUUGAUAGUAACGGAAGAGGAAGGGACGGCUAACUCUGUGCCAGCAGCCGCGGUAAUACAGAGGUCCCAAGCGUUGUUCGGGAUUCACUGGGCGUAAAGGGUGCGUAGGCGGUUGGGUAAGUCUGACGUGAAAUCUCCGGGCCUAACCCGGAAACUGCGUUGGAUACUAUCCGGCUAGAGGAAUGGAGGGGAGACUGGAAUACUUUGGUGUUGCAGUGAAAUGCGUAGAUAUCAAGUGGAACACCAGUGGCGAAGGCGAGUCUCUGGAUAUUUCCUGACGCUGAGGCACGAAAGCCAGGGGAGCAAACGGGAUUAGAUACCCCCGUAGU
rnacentral:rRNA from 1 species